GGUGGGGUGGCCGAGUGGUCAGGCAGCGGCCUGUAGUCCCGAAGAUAGAGGUUCGAGCCCUCUCCCUACUA
rnacentral:tRNA from 1 species